GUCCACGCCGUAAACGAUGAUCACUAGGUGACGGGAGUAUUGACCCUCUCGGCGCCGCAGCUAACGCAUUAAGUGAUCCGCCUGGGGAGUACGGCCGCAAGGCUAAAACUCAAAGGAAUUGACGGGGGCCCGCACAAGCGGUGGAGUAUGUGGUUUAAUUCGACGCAACGCGAAGAACCUUACCUGGGUUAGAAAUCAACUAGACGACUUUCAGAGAUGAUUGUUUUUCCCGCAAGGGAACUGGUUGACAGGUGCUGCAUGGCUGUCGU
rnacentral:rRNA from 1 species